AGCCGAGGGGUACGCUCCGGCAUCUCCAGGAACUUACCGCGUAGGCGCACGUUAAACCCAAAGGAAAGGCGAGGACGCUCCUGGCUCGGGAGCUGGUGUCAUGACUCUCAAGCCAAGAUUUUCCUAAGAAUACAGGAAGCCAGCCUCUUUUUGCUCAGGAGAGAGAGAAAGUAUUCCAGCUGGAAACUGACCAGCCCUGGAGGAAAGACCUAAAGCUACUGAUAUCAAAAGUUCCGCAGCAAACAACCCAGCCAGAUCCCUCUACAGUGGAGCUCAACAUGGAUAAACUCACCAACCAUCUCAAAACUUCCCAUCAGCUUUCUGGUUCCCCAUCAGUAGACAGCCAGUAGUUACCUCAGGGAUGUUGCUAACCCUGGAGACAGAAGCUAAAAUGAACCCACAGGGGGAAAGGCAAUGUGGGGAAAUCAAAGAAGAAAACAAAAUAAAACACCAAAAAGAUCAUUAACAUCUUAGGAGAAUUAAGAGAAGAUACUGCAGUUAAGGGGAAAAUGCUAUUGGUCAAAAAAGGCCAAAUAAACCAAAGAGCAUUAAAACCCAAGAACUUUCAAAGGAAUAAAAACAAUUUUUUAAAAAUUAAAAGCAUAAUAGCAGACAUGGUAUUUGGAUUGGAAUUAGAAAUGCUGAAAAAGAAAGUUGAAUAAAUUUUCCAGAAAAUAGAGAAAAAGGACAAAGAAAUGGAAACUAGGAGAUUAAAGAUCACAAAAUUAGAUAACUAGUACAGAAGUUCUAAUAAUGAGUUUUUUGUUUGUUUGUUUUUUUAAAGAGAGAACAUAGGGAAAGGAAGGGAACAAAGCAUCACAAUUUUUUUUUUGAAAAAGUUUUCCAGAUCUGAAGAACACGAAUCUCCACUGAAUGGGCCACUUGGUGUCCAGCCUCAUGGAUCAAAAGUGAUCCACACCAAAAUAUAUCACCUGAAGAUUUCAAAAUAGGAGGAAAGUUCUACAAGUUUCAAAAACAGAGAAACAAAUCACAUACAAAGGAUCAGGAAUCAGAAUUAUUUCAGACUUCUCAACCGCAUCACUGGGAGUUAAAAGACAAUGGAGCAAAGUUAUCUCCCAUCUCAAAUACAUUGUCAGCACAAAUGUCAAUCAAGUGUAGAACACACAUUUUCAGACAUGAGAGUUCUAGAAAAGUUUACCUUCUGUGCCCCCUGUCUCAGGGAGCUCCUGGGAACUGUGCCCACCAAAGCAAGGGAGUAAAUAAACCAAGAAAGAGGAAGACCCAGUAUAUGGAGUACCCAGAGCUGGAUUCAGCAGCAUGGUGGCAGGAGCCCGCGGAUAAGUGGGAACAGGAUGCCAGGGUGACAGCUGUGUGCCAGGUGAGGAGGGAAACCAGUCUUCACCGAAGCACUGUGACCCACGAGCUAGAUGUGGUCCUCUGUGCUGCCUUUUUGUCCUCAUGAAUCUAUUAAAGCCUUUGUCCCACCAGAGUAAGGGAGUACACCAAGCACGAGACCCAGGAAACGGGGAAUCUAAACUUAGCCAUGGUUCAAGGAUGACAGCCAACAGUUCACAAGGAGGAUGUCUUUAAAAAAAACUGUGUGUGUGUGUGUGUGUGUGUGUGUG